GAUCUCUAAGCGGAAGCCUAUAUAACACGGUUGAUGUAGUGGAACAUCUUCACGAUCCAAAUAGCAGCCCGUCCCGCUAUCUCAUCAUGAUCCAUCCCGCGAUCCCAUCACGAUCCAUCCCGAUCUAGUGCCGAAUGGACGGCACCUCCGUGUUCAACACACAUACAGCUCGAUGACGAUCCCCGCCUUCUUGAUCCAGCAAGAGGGGCGGAGAGGUAGAUGAGUUCUCCAGCACGACAGUAUGGUGGUGGUGGUGGUGAACUAAUCCAGCAGGGCUUCGCCUAAGCACUGUCGAACUAGACUAGAGGAAGAACUAUGAUCUAGAGGAAGAGGGAGCACUUGG
rnacentral:lncRNA from 1 species